AAGAUAUAUGUAAAAUAGAUCCCUCUGAUUUGACUUCUGUGUUUGUAUUUGUAGUCUGUCAUGUCUUUGCAAGAUAUUCCAGACUCUCCAGGAUUGCUUUGUGUGACUCUGGGUCACUUGGAAAUCACUGAGGCAAGGUAAUAAAAAUGGCAUAAUAUAAACACCAAAAUAACUAUUGGAUGAACCAAAACUAUGACAUUUUUCACUCCCUUCAACACAUUUUUUUUCAUUCUGAACACAAAUCCUAGGGCCACUGCACUGUGUUAUCUUCAAGAUUUGGUUUUUAUGUUGUAGAACUCAAACUUAAAAGCUAAUCUUAUUCCUUAUGUUUUCUUGAGUGCAGGAUUCUCUGCUGUCCAGGUAUGGAUGGGUCGUUCUCUCAGAACGCAGUGUGCAAUGACACGUUACAAGCAGUGUUAGGUGUGUCUAGUUGUCGGCUUGUGUGUUGCUCCACCCCUGGAGAUCAACAAAGAGUCAGUGUGUUAACAGUGACUCAAGAGGGAGGGUAAUAAAGCAUCAUGUUUAUGUUAAACACCUGUGUCUAUUAACUUUUUAAUGUAUCAUUGACUUGAAAUAUUUAAGCAAAACUAUUUAUUUACUUGCUUCAUUCAGGGUAGUGAACACUCUUCUCCUGGCCUCUGCUAAGCAGAACAUUCGGACCCUUGCAGCUGUAGAGGGGGAAAAAGAUGCUCUGAUUGGUUGGACAGAAUGUAAAACCCUCCUUAUAUGGAACAUGAAAACAGGCCAGCUGCUUCAGACUAUAUACCUGGAAAGGACUUUAACCAUGACAAACUGCAUGAAGGGAUAUUCUUACAGAGUAAGCCAGUGUAUUGCUCUUGUGUCAGUGAGUGUGUGUUAAAAGAAUGAGUAUGUGCCAGUGAAUACAGUGAUAAACGCUUUCUUUCCUGCAGGGUGUGCUGUGUUACUUCAGAAUGCAGGAAAUGUGUGUGAUAAAGAGAUUAAUGCAUCUCCUUUUACUCUGAUUGCCACAAAUCCUCUCACUGGCAAACACAUCACACUGACUUCUAUCAACUAUCCUGAUCAAGACAAACAGCAGUAAGACUAGAAGCAAUACAUGUUGUAGUUUAAGAACACAAUGUUAGCAGAAAAAUCAAAUCAGUACAUAUUUGUCUCUUUAUCAGGGUUAAAGAUGGUAAUGUCUUGGGCUCUGGGCUUGUUGGUAUUUUCCAGUCUGGUCAUCUUGCUGUUUGGGAUCUCAGAAGAAGCGUGUGCUGGAUGAGUUACAGCUGCUGGCUGGAUAUCUGAAUGGGGAUGUUAGAGUGUUUCAUUAUACAUCUACAUAAAUAGACCAUACAUCUCUAAUCAGCAAAUUGUUUGCAAUCACUUUAUUAUUAUUCAUUAAUGCCAUGUUAAAUGAUAAAUAUAAAAAAAAUGUUACAGAAGGUGUUUGUUGAUUACAGUUAAUAUAAGCAUUACAAGAGAAAUAUUUGUACUGUUUGGAUGUGAUAUGUAAAGUAUAUUUUACAAAAUAAAAUAUAAAUCUGUGAAUCGACUUAAACACUUUUAAUGGCUUUAAUGUUGAGAUUAAAGUUUUUAGCUGAGAGAAUGUCAAACUGUAUAAAUCUGUAUUGUCCACAACUAAUAUGUAACGAAACAUUCAUAAUCACAUUUAUAUGAUAAUCAGAUGUGAGACGUGUGCGUGUGUAUACAACUGUUUUUAUACAGUCUAUGGUAUACACACAUUAAUAAAGAGG
rnacentral:lncRNA from 1 species